rnacentral:sRNA from 1 species
AUCCCACAUUUUCCUCCUAGUUCUUUGUCAUGUGAACUGUCAAAACUCUUGACAUUAGUACCAGGCUUCCAUGUGCCACCUCAUUUCAACCAUCUACUUUGCUUUCUAUGUUUGAUUGCUUCAUCUCGUUGGGGUAUCAUUAGUACAUGGGAGUUACAGGACAGCUAUUCCAUCUAUCUGAUAGAUGCCAGAAAGGGGUCCGUUCUUUAGACGCGAGCCAAUUUUAUUUAUGGGUAUAAGCAACAGGAAAUAUUUGUGUACAACAUGAAAUUGCAAACAGUUACUGUGGCAUCUAGUUUCUGAGCAGCAACUGUGAAUGAUGUCAAUGCACUGCUAUUGAUUUCUAGACAGAUUGCUAUCUGAGAUGUAUAACCCUUCUUAGCUAUAUAGAUUUAGAUACUAGUAAUACAAGAGAAUGUCCCUGAAACAUAGA